GCGAGAGUAGUUCAGUGGUAGAACAUCACCUUGCCAAGGUGGGGGUCGCGAGUUCGAAUCUCGUCUCUCGCU
rnacentral:tRNA from 1 species